rnacentral:rRNA from 1 species
UACAGAGGGUGCAAGCGUUGUUCGGAAUUAUUGGGCGUAAAGAGCUCGUAGGCGGUCUGUCGCGUCUGCCGUGAAAACCCGAGGCUUAACCUCGGGCUGGCGGUGGAUACGGGCAGACUAGAGGUAGGUAGGGGAGAAUGGAAUUCCCGGUGUAGCGGUGAAAUGCGCAGAUAUCGGGAGGAACACCGGUGGCGGAGGCGGUUCUCUGGGCCUUACCUGACGCUGAGGAGCGAAAGCAUGGGGAGCGAACAGG